rnacentral:pre_miRNA from 1 species
AAACUACUCCCUCCGUCCCAAAAUUCUUGUCUUAGAUUUGUUAGAUACGGAUGUAUCUAAUACUAAAACGUGACUUGAUACAUCCGUAUUUAGACAAAUCUAAGACAAGAAUUUUGGGACAGAAGGAGUACUAG